GGCUCGGUAGCUUAGUUGGUAAAGCGCUCGUCUAGCAUACAAGAGUCCUGGGUUCAAAUCCCAGCCGACCA
rfam:Aedes aegypti strain Liverpool supercont1.472 genomic scaffold, whole genome shotgun sequence.